CUGCCACACAUGCAAAUGUACAGAUACAAAUGCUGACACACAUACAGAUACACUGACAAACAGAUACAACCUAGAUAAUGGCUAUUGCUAUUCUCACCAAUGUUAUAUAACAAUAAGAUCUGCAGUUAUUUCGGCUAACUCGUAACCUUUUUUGAUAAUUUUCUUGGUAAAAACGUUAAAAUAAAAAAAAAGCUAGAAAGAAAAAAAAUCUUUCUUAGCCUUUUAGCUUGCUCUGGGGACAGAUCAUUCAAAAUUUGAGAAAUUGAAGCCCUCAGUAUACCAUCAAUC